rnacentral:rRNA from 1 species
UUAAGAGCAAACGGUGGAUGCCUUGGCAUCUGGAGCCGAAGAAGGACGUAGCAAUCUGCGAUAAGCCUCGGGGAACUGAUAAGCAAGUUUUGAUCCGAGGGUGUCCGAAUGGGGAAACCCCGCUGGGCGGCGUGCCGACCCAGUGACUCCCGCCUGAAUAUAUAGGGCGGGUAGAGGGAACGUGGGGAAGUGAAACAUCUCAGUACCCACAGGAAGAGAAAACAACCGUGAUUCCGUGAGUAGUGGCGAGCGAAAUCGGAUGAGGCUAAACCGAGUACGUGUGAUAUCCGGCAGGAGUUGCGUAUUCGGGGUUGUGGGACUUUCCGUAUCAUUCUGCCGAGUGGUGAACGUGAUGCGUCGAUAUAGGUGAACGGUCUUGAAAGGCCGGCCAGAGUGGGUGCCAGCCCCGUAACUGAAAUGUCGGACGCAGCGUGGAGAGUAUCCCAAGUAGCACGGGGCCCGAGAAAUCCCGUGUGAAUCUGUCAGGACCACCUGAUAAGCCUAAAUACUCCCAGAUGACCGAUAGCGGACAAGUACCGUGAGGGAAAGGUGAAAAGUACCCCGGGAGGGGAGUGAAAUAGUACCUGAAACCGUUUGCUUACAAACCGUUGGAGCACCCCUGGUAGGUGUGACAGCGUGCCUUUUGAAGAAUGAGCCUGCGAGUUAGCGAUAUGUGGCGAGGUUAACCCGGGUGGGGUAGCCGUAGCGAAAGCGAGUCUGAAGAGGGCGAUUUCAGUCGCAUGUCCUAGACCCGAAGCGAAGUGAUCUAUCCAUGGCCAGGCUGAAGCGACGGUAAGACGUCGUGGAGGGCCGAACCCACUUAGGUUGAAAACUGAGGGGAUGAGCUGUGGAUAGGGGUGAAAGGCCAAUCAAACUUCGUGAUAGCUGGUUCUCUCCGAAAUGCAUUUAGGUGCAGCGUUGCGUGUUUCUUGCCGGAGGUAGAGCUACUGGAUGGCCGAUGGGCCCUACCAGGUUACUGACGUCAGCCAAACUCCGAAUGCCGGUAAGUGAGAGCGCAGCAGUGAGACUGUGGGGGAUAAGCUUCAUAGUCGAGAGGGAAACAACCCAGACCACCAUCUAAGGUCCCUAAGCGCGUGCUAAGUGGGAAAGGAUGUGGAGUUGCUUAGACAACCAGGAGGUUGGCUUAGAAGCAGCCACCCUUGAAAGAGUGCGUAAUAGCUCACUGGUCAAGUGAUUCCGCGCCGACAAUGUAACGGGGCUCAAGCACGCCACCGAAGUUGUGGCAUUGACAUUAUUGGUAGGCCUUCGUGGUCCAGCCGUGUUGAUGGGUAGGAGAGCGUCGUGUGGCGAGUGAAGCGGCGGGGUGACCCAGCUGUGGACGCUACACGAGUGAGAAUGCAGGCAUGAGUAGCGAAAGACGUGUGAGAAACACGUCCUCCGAAAGACCAAGGGUUCCAGGGUCAAGCUAAUCUUCCCUGGGUAAGUCGGGACCUAAGGCGAGGCCGACAGGCGUAGUCGAUGGACAACGGGUUGAUAUUCCCGUACCGGCGAAGAACCGCCCCAAUCAAUCCAGUGAUGCUAAGUGUCCGAACCUGUCCAUCGUUGCCUUCGGGUGACACCGGGCGGGGGAGCACACGACCCUAUGCUGGUGCGGUUAGCGUGUUAACAGGUGUGACGCAGGAAGGUAGCCCAUCCCGGGCGAUGGUUGUCCCGGGGCAAGUGCGUAGGCCGAGCUGUAGGCAAAUCCGCAGCUCAUGCAGGCUGAGACACGAUGCGGAUGAAAAGUGGGUGAUCCUAUGCUGCCGAGAAAAGCAUCGACGCGAGGUUCUAGCCGCCCGUACCCCAAACCGACUCAGGUGGUCAGGUAGAGAAUACCGAGGAGAUCGAGAGAAUCGUGGUUAAGGAACUCGGCAAAAUGCCCCCGUAACUUCGGGAGAAGGGGGGCCAUCCGCUUAUACCACCUUGCGUGGAAAAGGGUGUGGUGGCCGCAGAGACUAGUGGGUAGCGACUGUUUACUAAAAACACAGGUCCGUGCCAAGUCGCAAGACGAUGUAUACGGACUGACGCCUGCCCGGUGCUGGAAGGUUAAGAGGACGGGUCAGCCGCAAGGCGAAGCUCAGAAUUUAAGCCCCAGUAAACGGCGGUGGUAACUAUAACCAUCCUAAGGUAGCGAAAUUCCUUGUCGGGUAAGUUCCGACCUGCACGAAUGGCGUAACGACUUCCCAACUGUCUCAACCGCGAACUCGGCGAAAUUGCAUUACGAGUAAAGAUGCUCGUUACGCGCAGCAGGACGGAAAGACCCCGUGACCUUUACUACAGCUUGGUAUUGGUGUUCGGUGUGGCUUGUGUAGGAUAGGUGGGAGACUGUGAAGCGGAUACGCCAGUAUUCGUGGAGUCGUUGUUGAAAUACCACUCUGGUCACUCUGGAUGUCUAACUUCGAACCGUGAUCCGGUUCAGGGACAGUGCCUGGUGGGUAGUUUAACUGGGGCGGUUGCCUCCCAAAAAGUAACGGAGGCGCCCAAAGGUUCCCUCAACCUGGUUGGCAAUCAGGUGGCGAGUGUAAGUGCACAAGGGAGCUUGACUGUGAGACUGACAGGUCGAGCAGGGACGAAAGUCGGGACUAGUGAUCCGGCAGUGGCUUGUGGAAGCGCUGUCGCUCAACGGAUAAAAGGUACCUCGGGGAUAACAGGCUGAUCUUGCCCAAGAGUCCAUAUCGACGGCAUGGUUUGGCACCUCGAUGUCGGCUCGUCGCAUCCUGGGGCUGGAGUAGGUCCCAAGGGUUGGGCUGUUCGCCCAUUAAAGCGGUACGCGAGCUGGGUUUAGAACGUCGUGAGACAGUUCGGUCCCUAUCCGCUGCGCGCGUAGGAAGUUUGAGAGGAUCUGACCCUAGUACGAGAGGACCGGGUUGGACGAACCUCUGGUGUGCCAGUUGUACUGCCAAGUGCACCGCUGGUUAGCUACGUUCGGGAUGGAUAACCGCUGAAAGCAUCUAAGCGGGAAGCCGGCCUCAAGAUGAGACUUCCAUACCCUUUUGGGUGAGAGGCUCCCAGCCAGACUACUGGGUUGAUAGGCCAGAUGUGGAAGCACGGCAACGUGUGCAGCUGACUGGUACUAAUAAGCCGAUGACUUGAUA